rnacentral:rRNA from 1 species
GAUGAACGCUGGCGGCGUGCCUAAUACAUGCAAGUCGAACGGAAAAUUCUUGGUACUUGUAUCGGGAGUUUUUAGUGGCGAACGGGUGAGUAACGCGUUGGUGACCUACCCCAAAGUGGGGGAUAACAGAUCGAAAGGUCUGCUAAUACCUCAUGUUGUCAUCGUUUUUAGAAAUCGAUGAUUAAAGGAGCAAUCCGCUUUGGGAGGGGCCUGCGUCCCAUCAGCUAGUUGGUAGGGUAAUGGCCUACCAAGGCUUUGACGGGUAAGGGACCUGAGAGGGUGACCCCUCACAAUGGAACUGAAACACGGUCCAUACACCUACGGGUGGCAGCAGUAGGGAAUAUUGCACAAUGGACGAAAGUCUGAUGCAGCAACGCCGCGUGUACGAUGAAGGCCUUCGGGUCGUAAAGUACUUUUCAGGGAGAUGAGAAAGGACAGUA